rnacentral:rRNA from 1 species
CCUGCGGGAGGCUGCAGUGGGGAAUAUUGGACAAUGGGGGCAACCCUGAUCCAGCCAUGCCGCGUGUGUGAAGAAGGCCCUCGGGUUGUAAAGCACUUUCAGUGAGGAAGAACGCCUGGUGGUUAAUACCCAUCAGGAAAGACAUCACUCACAGAAGAAGCACCGGCUAACUCCGUGCCAGCAGCCGCGGUAAUACGGAGGGUGCGAGCGUUAAUCGGAAUUACUGGGCGUAAAGCGCGCGUAGGUGGCUUGAUAAGCCGGUUGUGAAAGCCCCGGGCUCAACCUGGGAACGGCAUCCGGAACUGUCAAGCUAGAGUGCAGGAGAGGAAGGUAGAAUUCCCGGUGUAGCGGUGAAAUGCGUAGAGAUCGGGAGGAAUACCAGUGGCGAAGGCGGCCUUCUGGACUGACACUGACACUGAGGUGCGAAAGCGUGGGUAGCAAACAGGAUUAGAUACCCUAGUAGUC